AUACAUAUGUAUGUAAUUAAAAUUGUUUUUCUACCAUUAAUCUGUUUUAUGUCAACUUGAUUUAUAGACCAGCCAAAGAACCUAUAAUGGUAGAAGAAAGCAUUUUUCCUCCCCUGUAGGACCAAACAAUACAUGGCAAACAGCAUGGCAAAGCCACAGGAAAGAUAACAUUCUCUGGGAUUAAUAAAUAACAACAGUUCUCAAAGUGUGGUCCUGGGACUCACAGCAUGAUCAGCACCUGGAAGUUUGUUAGAAAUGCAGAUUCUUGGCCAGCCACAGUAGCUCACACCUGUGAGCUACUUUGGGCCGAGACAGAUCACUUGAGGUCAGGAGUUCGAGACCCGCCUUGCCAACGUGGUGAAACCCUACCUCUACUAAAAAUACAAAAAUUAGCUGGGUGCUGUGGCACUUGCCUGUAGUCCCAGCUACUCAGGAGGCUGAGGAAGGAGAAUUACUUGAACCUGGGUGGCGGAGGCUGUAGUGAGCCGAGAUUGCACCACUAUACUCCAGCCUGGAUGACAGAGUGAAACUUCAUUUCCAAACAAACAAAAACAAAAAACAAAACAAAAACAGAAAUUCAGAUUCUUGGGCCAACCUCAGACCUACCACAACAGAAACUCUAGAGGUGUGGUCCUGCAAUCUGUCCUGUAACAAGCAGUUCAGGUGAUUCUGAUGCCUGCUAAAGUCUGGGAAAUGCUGAUAUAGAGACAAGGAAAUGAACUCCUUCAUUCCAGGUUGCUGGUUAGGGACCACCCUCAAUCGCUGGAUAUGUUUUGCAUGCUAGGAAGAAUAAGAACAACAUUUAAAUAAAAGCAGAGACAUGUGGAGAGGUAACCCAGCGAAGAGAUGGACUUGGAACAUGGAAGACCUGUGUCUUAGCCUGUUUUGCUUUGCUAUAAAGGAAUACCUGAAGCUGGUAAUGUAUAAAGAAAAGAGGUUUGUCUCAUGGAUCUGCAGGCUGUACAGAAAGCACACCAACAGCACCUGCUUCUGUCAAGGACCCAGGAAGCUUCCACUCAUGGCAGAAGAAGCAGAGUGAAGCUGACCUUCCCCAUAAUGUU
rnacentral:lncRNA from 10 species